rnacentral:rRNA from 1 species
GAACGCUGGCGGAGGCCUAACACAUGCAAGUCGAGCGGAAACGAGUUAACUGAACCUUCGGGGAACGUUAACGGCGUCGAGCGGCGGACGGGUGAGUAAUGCCUGGGAAAUUGCCCUGAUGUGGGGGAUAACCAUUGGAAACGAUGGCUAAUACCGCAUAAUAGCUUCGGCUCAAAGAGGGGGACCUUCGGGCCUCUCGCGUCAGGAUAUGCCCAGGUGGGAUUAGCUAGUUGGUGAGGUAAUGGCUCACCAAGGCGACGAUCCCUAGCUGGUCUGAGAGGAUGAUCAGCCACACUGGAACUGAGACACGGUCCAGACUCCUACGGGAGGCAGCAGUGGGGAAUAUUGCACAAUGGGCGCAAGCCUGAUGCAGCCAUGCCGCGUGUAUGAAGAAGGCCUUCGGGUUGUAAAGUACUCUCAGCAGUGAGGAAGGCGGAGUCGUUAAUAGCGGCCUCGUUUGACGUUAGCUGCAGAAGAAGCACCGGCUAACUCCGUGCCAGCAGCCGCGGUAAUACGGAGGGUGCGAGCGUUAAUCGGAAUUACUGGGCGUAAAGCGCAUGCAGGUGGUUUGUUAAGUCAGAUGUGAA